CCUACGGGUGGCAGCAGUGAGGAAUAUUGGUCAAUGGGCGGAAGCCUGAACCAGCCAAGUAGCGUGCAGGAUGAAGGCCCUACGGGUUGUAAACUGCUUUUAUACGGGAAUAACGCCACUUACGUGUAGGGCUUUGCAUGUACCGUAUGAAUAAGGACCGGCUAAUUCCGUGCCAGCAGCCGCGGUAAUACGGAAGGUCCGGGCGUUAUCCGGAUUUAUUGGGUUUAAAGGGGGCGUAGGCGGCAUGUCAAGCCAGCUGUGAAAUGUCGGGGCUCAACCCGGGCCUUGCGGGGGGAACUGCGUGCUUGAGUCCGCGGGAAGCAGGCGGAAUUCGUCGUGUAGCGGUGAAAUGCUUAGAUAUGACGAAGAACCCCGAUUGCGAAGGCAGCUUGCUGCAGCGGAACUGACGCUGAUGCUCGAAAGCGCGGGUAUCGAACAGGAUUAGAUACCCUGGUAGUC
rnacentral:rRNA from 1 species